ACACUCCUGCGGGAGGCAGCAGUGGGGAAUUUUGGACAAUGGGCGAAAGCCUGAUCCAGCAAUGCCGCGUGAGUGAAGAAGGCCUUCGGGUUGUAAAGCUCUUUUGUCAGGGAAGAAACGGUGAAAGCUAAUAUCUUUUGCUAAUGACGGUACCUGAAGAAUAAGCACCGGCUAACUACGUGCCAGCAGCCGCGGUAAUACGUAGGGUGCAAGCGUUAAUCGGAAUUACUGGGCGUAAAGCGUGCGCAGGCGGUUUUGUAAGUCUGAUGUGAAAUCCCCGGGCUCAACCUGGGAAUUGCAUUGGAGACUGCAAGGCUAGAAUCUGGCAGAGGGGGGUAGAAUUCCACGUGUAGCAGUGAAAUGCGUAGAUAUGUGGAGGAACACCGAUGGCGAAGGCAGCCCCCUGGGUCAAGAUUGACGCUCAUACACGAAAGCGUGGGGAGCAAACAGGAUUAGAUACCCCAGUAGUCCC
rnacentral:rRNA from 1 species